rnacentral:rRNA from 1 species
GACGUAGGGCGCGAGCGUUGUCCGGAUUUAUUGGGCGUAAAGAGCUCGUAGGCGGCUUGUUGCGUCGACCGUGAAAACCCGCGGCUUAACUGCGGGCUUGCGGUUGAUACGGGCGGGCUGGAGUUCGGUAGGGGAGACUGGAAUUCCUGGUGUAGCGGUGAAAUGCGCAGAUAUCAGGAAGAACACCUAUGGCGAAGGCAGCUCUCUGGGACGGUACUGACGCUGAGACGCGAAAGCGUGGGGAGCGAACAGG